rnacentral:rRNA from 1 species
ACACAUGCAAGUCGAGGGGCAGCAUGGUCUUAGCUUGCUAAGGCCGAUGGCGACCGGCGCACGGGUGAGUAACACGUAUCCAACCUGCCGUCUACUCUUGGACAGCCUUCUGAAAGGAAGAUUAAUACAAGAUGGCAUCAUGAGUCCGCAUGUUCACAUGAUUAAAGGUAUUCCGGUAGACGAUGGGGAUGCGUUCCAUUAGAUAGUAGGCGGGGUAACGGCCCACCUAGUCUUCGAUGGAUAGGGGUUCUGAGAGGAAGGUCCCCCACAUUGGAACUGAGACACGGUCCAAACUCCUACGGGAGGCAGCAGUGAGGAAUAUUGGUCAAUGGGCGCAGGCCUGAACCAGCCAAGUAGCGUGAAGGAUGACUGCCCUAUGGGUUGUAAACUUCUUUUAUAAAGGAAUAAAGUCGGGUAUGUAUACCCGUUUGCAUGUACUUUAUGAAUAAGGAUCGGCUAACUCCGUGCCAGCAGCCGCGGUAAUACGGAGGAUCCGAGCGUUAUCCGGAUUUAUUGGGUUUAAAGGGAGCGUAGAUGGAUGUUUAAGUCAGUUGUGAAAGUUUGCGGCUCAACCGUAAAAUUGCAGUUGAUACUGGAUAUCUUGAGUGCAGUUGAGGCAGGCGGAAUUCGUGGUGUAGCGGUGAAAUGCUUAGAUAUCACGAAGAACUCCGAUUGCGAAGGCAGCCUGCUAAGCUGCAACUGACAUUGAGGCUCG